UGCUCUGACCUCUGUAAAAGUCUCCUGUGUUUCCACAUUUCUUCCUUGGGAGAGCUAAUUCUGCUUCCCCGGUGUAUGAAUUUAAGGACACAACUUUCCGUAAGAAAUAAUUGCUUCAUACACAUCCCAUCCAGCAUUGGAGGCUGACCUCAAGUCCCUAAUUCUUGAUGAAGUCUUUCUGAUGAUAAAGCCCAUCAUGCCCCCUGCUUCCUCUGGCUACCACCACCAAGCAGACUGCCCGAUGCUACUGUGUAUUGAUCGAUGUGUUUCUGUUCCAGUUCCAACAACUCCUCACUAGACAAUUCCUCGGGAACCACCUCUAGGAGCUCCUCAAUGUCUUCCUCAUCCACACCCAGGUUGAAGUUGUUUGCCAUCUCAGUCACAGCCUUGUUGAUUUCUGCAACCUCCUCAUCCUUGGCAAAUCCUUUGAAGUUAUGGAUGAACCUCUUGAGUGUCUUCUUCCACAUGCCAUUCGUACACUCCUUGGUGACAUCACCCCAAGCCCAAGCAAGGUUCUUGAUGCAGUCAUAGAUGUUGUAAUCCUUCCAGAAUUGCAUCAGUGUCUCCCCAGGGUCUUCCUCAGUUGCAGCAGUAGCCUCGGUAAAGGUCCUCCUCAGGUAGUAAGCCUUAAAAGCUGUUAUAAUUCCUUAAUUCAUUGGUUGGAUCAAAGAGGUGGUGUUUGGAGAGAGAAACACCACUUUGAUAUUGGGAUGAAGAUCACCCAUAAAAAGAGGAUGAAUGGGAGCAUUAUCAGUCAUAAGCAAAAUCUUGAAGCAUAUGUUAUUCUCCAAGCAGUAUUUCUCCAUUUCUCUGGCAUAGCAAUUUGGGAGGCAUCUUGGAAAAGGAGCUGGGUCAUCCUUGACUUCUUAUUGCUGCUGUAGUACACUGGCAGUGUGUGCUUCCUGAUGUACUUGAGGGCCCUGGGGUUCUCACUGUACCAGAUCACAAAGGGUUUCAAUUUGUAGCCUGCAACAUUGCUCCCAAGCAAGACUGUCACCCUGUCCUUAGAACCCUUGAAACCUGGCAUUGACUUGGCAUCCUUAUGGAUAUAAGUCGUCUCAGACAUUUGUUUCCACAAUAGGGAAAUUUCAUCCAUAUUAAAGAUUUAUCUUUUUUUA